UACAUCUUCUUUUCUUAGUAUUUUUCAGUAAAUUUUCACAACAUUUCGUCAAUUGUAUACGUUAAAAUUUCCAUAUUUGUAAGAAACAUGUUCUGCGCGAAAUAGGUCGACUUCCUAAACGCAGGUUGCAAUGCAUAUUUACAAUGCAUAUAGUUCCUAAAGUCACACUUGAAUUUUCUGGCAACGCCUAAUGUUCCUAAUUAGUUGGCAACUCAGUUUUAAACGCAUCAGAUGUUUAAAGCGUGCAUCAAUUUUAUUUGGUAUGCAGAACAGACAAUGGCAGAAGAAAAAAGUGGACACACGAGUGGAAGAAAUUAUUAAUAACAACAAGGCUUCGCCAUGAAGCAGAAUUUUCCGGCAAAAAAAGAAAGAGAAAUACAAUUUGGGAGUCGAUUUUAAGGGAAAUGAGGGACGUUGAGAGCUCGUUUCCAUUUUCAAGUGAUGAAAUAACGAGGUGUUUCCUCAACAUAAUGGGGGCUUAUAAGCAUAUAAAGAAAAGAAACAGUACUUCUGGCGAAGCAGCAUCAAAUUGGGAAUAUUUUAGUGAAAUCGAUGAAGUGUUUGGGAGUCGUUCUAGUAUUGAAGUGCCACUAGAAAUGACCGAGUAUUCUAUAAUUUCAUUGGAAAGUCCUUCCACCACAGCAACAAUUGACGGAAUGGAUGUAACACCUACAACAUCAGUUAAAAGAAAGAGAAAUGACGUAAUCGAAUUCUUAGAGAAAGAAUCCGAAAAGGAAAACGAAGCUAUAAAUAAGCUUAUAAAAAUAGAAAGUGAAAGACUUGAAGUUGAAAAAGAAAAACUUAAUUAAAACAACUACGGGCUUUAUUUGAAAACCCAGGAUAGUUUACAAAUAAUAUAAAUAAUUACUAUUAUAUAAUUAUAAGAAAUAUAUAUAUAUAUAUAAGUAUGUUAUAGUUUUGAAAGUUCCUAUCUUAUGAAAUAAAAUACAUUUAUUCAUGUUCAUGUUAUUCAAAUUGUGUUUUUUAUUUUAGAAUUGUCGUUUAAUUCAACUUGAAAACAACGCUGCCAGGGCAUUUCGUUUUUGAUGGGCUUCAUCUCUUUGCAAUGAUGGAACACUAACUUCAGAUGUUUGGGCCUCCUCUUCGUGCAAUUCUAUGCAAUCAAUGUUUUGCUGACCUUCAUUGAUUAUAAUCACGUUAUGUAUUAUCAUGCACGUUAAUACAAUAAUUUUUGGAAUAUGAGCGAGCUGUACACCAAUAAAUUUUAAAAUUCUGAA